CUCUGGUGGCCAAACAGUGUGUCAAAGAGUGUCUGUCAUAGACAUUUUUCCUUUGCAUAUCAUCCUCCACGUACCCUCCAGUUUCCAUGAUGCUCCGACAAUGUUGUGCGAAUAAUGAAUCACCCUGUAUAUAUUCUACAGUAACAUGCUAUAUUUAUUUUCAUAGCAGGACAUUUUUAUAAGCACAUUUUCCUUGCUUUUAUUGUCAUUAUUUUAUUCUGCAAUCACGAACUGUCCCAAACCUGUGUAUGUUAUUGUUCAUCCUCCCCUUGCUUUAAAAAUUACAUUUUUUAAGUUGCUGGGUGUACAUUAUAUGACACAAAGCCCCAAUUCUGACAUAAAGCAUCUAAAACGAAUACAAUUUCAAAUCUGUUCAUAAUGCGAGCAGCAGAGAGCGAGUGGCUUAUCUAAUUUCUUGCAGCGUGAAAACCAUCAACAAAUUACAUCCAGAAUAAUAACAGGCCAUUAAAAAAGCAUCACUCCUCAAACGCGGGGGCCCCGUGAACACAUGAGUCUGUGUCAUUAAGAGAGCUGCAAAUGGGAAAUUGCAUGGCAGAUUACAUUGCAGAGGGACAAAAUCUUGAAUUAAAUUAAUUAUUGGAGCUGGGAGUGGAUUGCCAGCCUACUGCCAGUGAUUCGGGUCAAACUGCUGCGCAGAGAAUUUAACAUGCAAGAGAGGGACCCAAUGGAGGUAUGAAUGUUUCUACAAGGCUUGGAUUAAACCCAAAAUGUUUCAAGUUAUCUCAUCAGCUGUUGGAAUGUCCAGCUCUCACUAUUUUAGUUUUGCACUCAGUACUCCUGCACUUUAUCCUGUACACCCUCGAUCUGUUAAUAAAUGUACAAGUUUCGGGAAUCAAAAAAUGUCUUGGAUUUAACUGUAUGUUGUCCAAAGUGACCUGCUUUGCGAAAAAAUAAAUAAAUAAAUAAAACGCUAGGAAAUCAAAACAUUGAAAACGUAAAUAUAUCUGUCAAUAGAGAUUUAAAAUGUUAAAAAAAAAAAACAAUUAAAGGCACUGUUUCCCAGUUUCUAAUCUCAAUAAAAACCUGAUGAUUGGGCAUUAGCUUGGUAGUCAACCACCAUACAGUAAUGCCAUCUAAAUAACCAUAAUGGAUCUUUACCAAGAAAACCACAGAACACAGUUUUAAAUAUAAAGAUGUUUGGUCAUCUGGGAAACCAAAAAGUCACAUGAUCACAAUUUUAGAGGUACAGCUUUUAAAAAUCAAAAAGCAUGAAGAGUACAUGUUGGUGUAUUUUUAACAUUGAUAUCAUGUGAGAUGGAAUAUUUAGAUAGGGGGGUGCUGAGAUUAAGUUUGGAAAGGUAACAAUUUGACACAGAUUUUCUUUGUUUCCAAUAAUAUCAGUGGUCUAGAAACGCCAUUUUAGUCUAUUGCUGGAAUUGUAAUAACUUAAGGAAAAGGUUAUAAGAAAUGAUUGUAUGAGUAAAACAGCACAAAUUCAGAUAUUUGCAUUUCAAAAUUGUAACAACAGUAAACCCACAGUAAGCAUUUAUAAGGAAAGUGGUAAAUGUCCAUUGUUGGAUCUUGGCCAAUUGAUGAAAAAGCUGAUCUGUUAUUUGCACUGUUAUAAUGCAACAAUAGUACUGUGGCAAAAAUCCCUUCCCUUUAAAAUACAUAUAGCUAACACAAUAAUUCCAGUAAAUCUCAUCUAAUAUGUAUUACCCAUGCUUCCUAGAUCUCACAUAUUUCUAUAUGAAAGAUUUCUUUAAGGUUCUCAAACCCUCUCAGAGUGGAUGGAAGAUUUGAUUUGAUCUUGGAAGGAGGCAAACAGGGAGCACUGCGUUGUCAUUUCCUUGCCAAUGAGCUGGAGAGGGGAAAUCAACUAGGAUUGGAUUGCUGCACCAGCCACAGCACCACCUACUGGUCAGUGCCAGACGUGGCCAAACAUAAAGACCAGUCAGGCUAAACUCUUUCCUCUAGGGUUCAGUAGCUUGACAACAUCCAGUGCUACUGCUGUGUGAAAAGAGGAUAGACGAUGGUAAGGGCAUUAGUUGAUCUUCUGUCCUUCUAAGCCAGUACGUGGGUUACAUCAGUGACGCGGCAUUUUGAACUGCAGAGAAAAAUUGCAAAUAAUGUGCCUUUAAAUCCAUGUCUGUAUAAUAAGCAAACAUUGUAAACCCUGCAUCCUAAAAAGGAGCUCUAUAAUACCCCAUGCUCAGCUCUCCAGUGCUCUAACCCUACACCUUCAUAAUAAGCACAGGUCUAAACAUUCUAUUCUCAUCUCUCAAGCACUCUGUCUCCAAUAUAACAAGAACACUGGUCUUAACACUCAAUUGUACCUGCAUAAUGAGCGCUGGUCUAAAUAAUCCACUCUCAGAUCUGAGGCACGGUCAUUAGCCUGCGCCUUAAUAACGAGUGCUUGUCUAAACACUCCAGCGCUGCUAACCUGCUCCUAAUAAACACAAAUGAGAAAUGCAGAACUACAUUCUAAUGCAGUGAAAACGAAUAAUUGAUGAAUGGGUGACACCAAAUUCUGGGGACAAGACAGUGCUUGAGUAUGCCCUCGCCCAGUAAGGAAAAGGCAGGUAUGCACAGCAAACUGAGAGGGGGGUGGGGGGGCAGGCUCAGUGCUUUCUCUCUCUCUCCCUCUCUCUCCCUUUCUUUGUCCACGUUGGGAAUGAAGCCUUAUCACCAGCAAUGAAGCUUAAGGCUGCUCGAGUGGACUUUGCAAUGCAAAUGAAAGAUCCUCUGGGACAAGAUGGAGCUUAUAACCAACUCGGGACCUGGGAGAACAUCCUACGCUUUCUUUUUUUUUUUUUUUUAGCAUCCUGCGUGCAAGCCAGAACGAAAAUACAGCACAGAAGAGGGAAGGCAUAGAGGGAGGGAGGGAGAGAGAGAGAGAGAGAGAGAGAGAGAGAGAGAGAGAGAGAGAGAGAAAGAGAGAGAGAGAGAGAGAGAGACUGACUAAUCAGGGAGAAACGUUAGUUCUAGGACAUUAGGUUACAAACACCUAAGUAUGGGUGGCUUGCAUUGCAUCGAUGUAAUGUAAAGGUGUGAUUCUCAAAAUAUAUACGGUAUAUAUUGAGCAAAACAUCUUCCUUUGUUAACUAAAUUUGAAAUGCGGGGCACUGGAACCAAGAAGAUCUGCAAUAAUGAAAUACCAAACAGGUGUCUGUAAGGAAAAAUGUCCCAGUUAUUGUCCAAGAAGGAUUGGGUACUGAAGAUUGGCAAGGGGCCCUCCCUAUAGCCCAGCAAGCGGCAAUGAUGGUUUGGCAGGUCGUGAUCCAUAAAUCUGGGCAGCCGGCAAAAUCCAUGAACAUCUCUACAGUGCAAGCUCUGGGAUACAUGGUCAACUCAACAUCUUCCAGAGUCUACCUCCGUUCUCCCUUUGGAAUGCCAGAGUCUGAAGUCCUGUUGGUGGCUGGGAUCCAGGUGGAAGCCAUCAGAGCCACGCAGUGUGGAGUAGUGGUUAGGGCUCUGGACUCUUGACCGGAGGGUCGUGGGUUCAAUCACCGGUGGGGACACUGCUGCUGUACCCUUGAGCAAGGUACUUUACCUAGAUUGCUCCAGUAAAAAAAAAAAAAACUGUAUAAAUGGGUAAUUGUAUGUAAAAAUAAUGUGAUAUCUUGUAACAAUUGUAAGUCACCCUGGAUAAGGGCGUCAGCUAAGAAAUAAAU